CAGCCGCCACGGGAAUACGUAGGUGGCAAGCGUUGUCCGGAAUUAUUGGGCGUAAAGGGCUCGCAGGCGGUUUCUUAAGUCUGAUGUGAAAGCCCCCGGCUCAACCGGGGAGGGUCAUUGGAAACUGGGAAACUUGAGUGCAGAAGAGGAGAGUGGAAUUCCACGUGUAGCGGUGAAAUGCGUAGAGAUGUGGAGGAGCACCAGUGGCGAAGGCGACUCUCUGGUCUGUAACUGACGCUGAGGAGCGAAAGCGUGGGGAGCGAACAGGAUUAGAUACCCCCGUAGUCCCUGUCUCUUAUAC
rnacentral:rRNA from 1 species